UGUGACAGAGUAGUGACAAAGAUUGUGGUCUGAUACCAUCUUCUGGGCAAAAAUCUGAACCCUUACCCCCAAAAUAAUUAAAGCAAAAAGGGCUGGGGGUAUAUGAGAAGUGGUAGGGCACCUGCUUAACAAAUGCAAGGCCUUGAGUUCAAAGGCUAGUAGUGUCAGAAGAGAAAGAAAAGGUGACUUUGGGCUGCCACCUUGGAGGCUACCUUCCAUCUAUUGGGACACUAGGGAAACUGAGGCCUAAGAAGGCUCCAUCGCCUCCUUUGGCCUCUAGUCCCAAGGCUGAACAAGGGGUCCUCUGCACAGGUUG